rnacentral:rRNA from 1 species
UAGGGAAUAUUGCACAAUGGGGGAAACCCUGAUGCAGCGACGCCGCGUGAGUGAUGAAGGCCUUCGGGUCGUAAAGCUCUGUCGUAUGGGACUAACAAAAUGAAGGUACCAUGCAAGAAAGGAUCGGCUAACUUCGUGCCAGCAGCCGCGGUAAGACGAGGGAUCCUAGCGUUGUUCGGAUUUACUGGGCGUAAAGGGCGCGUAGGCGGUGUGUCAAGUCAGUUGUGAAAUCUCCGAGCUUAACUCGGAACGGUCAACUGAUACUGUCACACUAGAGUACAGAAGGGGCAAUCGGAAUUCUUGGUGUAGCGGUGAAAUGCGUAGAUAUCAAGAGGAACACCUGAGGUGAAGACGGGUUGCUGGGCUGACACUGACGCUGAGGCGCGAAAGCCAGGGGAGCAAACGGGAUUAGAUACCCAUGUAGUCCCUGAGCGGGCUGGCAAGGCGCAU